rnacentral:tRNA from 1 species
UUCCUGGUGGUUCCGUGGUUAGAACUCCGCACUGCCACUGCCGGGAGCGCGGGUUCAAUUCCUACUUGGGGAA